CAGAGAAACUUGGACUUCAUCAGUCUCAUAGGGGAUUCUAUGCAGAUGGUCUGAGCACCAAAGUUUUGGAAACUUGGGGUGGGAGUCUCUACCACUGGGUUAGUAGGCAAGUCUAAUCCCCAACCCAGGAAAUGAUCCAGUGGCUUCUCUGAGGUUGCACACUCCCUGGCUGAACAACUGUUGGUGCCUGAGUAAAAGAAGGGCUUCUCUUGAGAACUAUGCUUCAUCUAACCAAUCAAACCUAUUUAAAGCCUAAAAAGUUCUGUCUCAGGAACAAGCUGCCCUACUCCUCCUUACCUCUUUGCUAGUUUCUGGUGUCCUGUCUUGUAUGGUCUUGGUUUGGAGGUAAGGUGACGAAGGAAGAGCAGCCACCAUGGCGGCAGGAUGGUCAUUGGAAAUGCUGGAUUUCCAGAGCUGGGAUGGGGACAGUCCCAGGCCAGCUGGGAUGGCUGGCCACCCUCCUUGCAUAGAAGCCCUCAUUGUGUGGAGCCCUGGCCAGCUCCACUCUGCUGCUGAAGGCUGCGCCAUGGUGUCUCAGGUCAGUGGAAGAACCCUGUGGGUAUAUUUGCUUUGCCUGUCAAAGUUGUUCCUUUUUUCUUUAGUAGAAAAAUUCUUUGUGGUUUGGUUUCUUCGCCUCAUUUCCUAGAGCUACAGGAGGCUGAAGGCAGGUAGCCUCACCUGGCCUGAGGAGUAGCUCCUCUAUGCCUUAUUUUUGUCAAAUAGUAUUACAUUGAGAAUUGGUCCUGGCUUUUUUCUUCUUUUUCUUUUUCUUUUAAUUUCCACUGAGGCUAUAACUAGGAUGUGGGCUUCCUAAGACUGGAGAAAUUAAGUCUUAAAACAGCCCCUUGGGAGGAUAGGAUGGGGAAGUGCCAGAGAACGGGGAUCCAGGAGGAUGGGCUGACCUGCUGGUAGGAGACCUUGUAGCCCACCUCGCCCAGUGGAUUCCCUGUUUUAUGAGCUGAGAGAGACCUUAGUGUAUUCUUGCUGAAUUCAUUUUGGAGGAGGAAAGUGUAUUUUCUUAAGUGAGGCAGGCCUCUAGGGUGGAGUUCAGGCUGUUUUGCUCUCAGCUUGGGCUGUGGGAUGAAAUAGGGUCUGUUACAGACAAAGCUCUGUUUGAACUGGAAUGAGUCACAAGAGGUGUCCAGGGAGGAAAUGCAGGAAUUCUGGAACCGGACAGUGUUGCCCUCAGUAGAGAUAGACUGGGUGAGUGAUCAAGCUGAAUAAUCCCAUUUUGGGUUUUUUAAAAAAGGUCU
rnacentral:lncRNA from 1 species